CUGGGGCUUGAGGUUGCUGUCUAUCGCUUCGGCGAUGACGGUGAUGCUCAGCUCUGCUUGCCGGUGACUGUUGCGGUGUUCUUCACUGAGCGCUGUAGCAGCACGGCACGUUUACUUUGAAUAAAUUAGAGUGCUCAAAGCGGGCUUGUCGCUUGAAUAAUGUUGCAUGGAAUAAUGGAAUAGGACCUCGGUUCUAUUUUGUUGGUUUUCGGAGCUUGAGGUAAUGAUUAAGAGGGACGAACGGGGGCAUUCGUAUUGCGGUGUUAGGGGUGAAAUUC
rnacentral:rRNA from 1 species